rnacentral:rRNA from 1 species
ACACUCCUACGGGAGGCAGCAGUGGGGAAUUUUGGACAAUGGGCGAAAGCCUGAUCCAGCCAUGCCGCGUGUGUGAAGAAGGCCUUCGGGUUGUAAAGCACUUUUGUCCGGAAAGAAAUCCUUGGCUCUAAUACAGUCGGGGGAUGACGGUACCGGAAGAAUAAGCACCGGCUAACUACGUGCCAGCAGCCGCGGUAAUACGUAGGGUGCGAGCGUUAAUCGGAAUUACUGGGCGUAAAGCGUGCGCAGGCGGUUUGCUAAGACCGAUGUGAAAUCCCCGGGCUCAACCUGGGAACUGCAUUGGUGACUGGCAGGCUAGAGUAUGGCAGAGGGGGGUAGAAUUCCACGUGUAGCAGUGAAAUGCGUAGAGAUGUGGAGGAAUACCGAUGGCGAAGGCAGCCCCCUGGGCCAAUACUGACGCUCAUGCACGAAAGCGUGGGGAGCAAACAGGAUUAGAAACCCUUGUAGUCC